UGGGGAAUCUUCCGCAAUGGACGAAAGUCUGACGGAGCAACGCCGCGUGAGUGAAGACGGCCUUCGGGUUGUAAAGCUCUGUGAUCCGGGACGAAAGAGCCUGAGGUGAAUAGCCUAAGGAAGUGACGGUACCGGAAAAGCAAGCCACGGCUAACUACGUGCCAGCAGCCGCGGUAAUACGUAGGUGGCAAGCGUUGUCCGGAAUUAUUGGGCGUAAAGCGCGCGCAGGCGGCUUCCUAAGUCCAUCUUAAAAGUGCGGGGCUUAACCCCGUGAUGGGAUGGAAACUGGGAAGCUGGAGUAUCGGAGAGGAAAGUGGAAUUCCUAGUGUAGCGGUGAAAUGCGUAGAGAUGAGGAAGAACACCGGUGGCGAAGGCGACUUUCUGGACGAAAACUGACGCUGAGGCGCGAAAGCGUGGGGAGCAAACAGG
rnacentral:rRNA from 1 species